GGCCUAACACAUGCAAGUCGAGCGGAAACGAUGAUAGCUUGCUAUCAGGCGUCGAGCGGCGGACGGGUGAGUAAUGCUUGGGAAUAUGCCUUUUGGUGGGGGACAACAGUUGGAAACGACUGCUAAUACCGCAUAAUGUCUGAGGACCAAAGCGGGGGACCUUCGGGCCUCGUGCCAAAAGAUUAGCCCAAGUGAGAUUAGCUAGUUGGUGGGGUAAAGGCCUACCAAGGCGACGAUCUCUAGCUGGUUUGAGAGGAUGAUCAGCCACACUGGGACUGAGACACGGCCCAGACUCCUACGGGAGGCAGCAGUGGGGAAUAUUGCACAAUGGGGGAAACCCUGAUGCAGCCAUGCCGCGUGUGUGAAGAAGGCCUUCGGGUUGUAAAGCACUUUCAGUGGGGAGGAAAGGGUGAUGCUUAAUACGUAUCAUCUGUGACGUUACCCACAGAAGAAGCACCGGCUAACUCCGUGCCAGCAGCCGCGGUAAUACGGAGGGUGCGAGCGUUAAUCGGAAUUACUGGGCGUAAAGCGUGCGUAGGCGGAUAGUUAAGCGAGAUGUGAAAUCCCGGGGCUCAACCUCGGAACUGCAUUUCGAACUGGCUGUCUAGAGUCUUGUAGAGGGUGGUGGAAUUUCCAGUGUAGCGGUGAAAUGCGUAGAGAUUGAAAGGAACAUCAGUGGCGAAGGCGGCCACCUGACAAAGA
rnacentral:rRNA from 1 species